ensembl:lncRNA
GAGAAGUUGUAUCAUUUGUGGUUUCAGCGAAAUAUUGGUUAGAAUCAAGAGGAGGUGUUCCCAAUCAAAUCGAUGUGACGGACCCAUUGGAUUUGUUCUCUGAACCCGCCUUUAUGGACAUGAGGUGAGUUCAAAUCUCGCGUGCCUUGUGCGAACAAAUGUCUCCCGCCGAGGUCAUGAAUUGCAUGAUUGUCCGUGUUUUGUGAUAGUCAGUGAUUAUUAGCAUGCUCCGAUUAAAGUGUUAAGCGGUGAAAACCAACCCGUUAUGUCUAAACCUUCGGAUUUUUUUGUAAUGCAAUGUUCGUUUACUUUUUACAGAGACCCGCGUUUAUGGAAAUGAGGUGAGCGCAAAUCUUGUUAGUCUCAUGCAAGCGAGUGUCUUUUGCUGAAGUGAUGAGUUGCAUGUAGUCCGUGUUUCUGAUAGCCAGUGAUUAUUAACAUGCUCUGAUUUAAAAUGUUCAGAGGUGAAAACGAACCCCAGUUUAGUAUGUUUGUUCUAAUCUCUUCAUUAAUAUUCUGCAGGUACCUUUGCGACUGAAAGCAGUAAAGUGUUAAAUAAGGUAGGCUCUGUUUUUCAGUCUGAUACAAAGUAAAUUCAGACUAUGAAAGCACCACUUAUUUAAUAUCAGUUUUGUAUUAAUCCCAUUUUCCUUUUUUUAGGUAUUUACUUCAUUUGACCAGACUGACUUCUAUGGUUUUGAGUAAACUCCACUGACCUUUUAUUAAAAAAUAUGUAUGUAGAAAACUAGAGUAUAUAAAUGUAACUUGUAGUAUUGUAGGUCCAUGUGCUUGCUAUCCUUUGAACUCUGAAAGAUGCCAGCAAUAUGCUGUCGGUCAGUGAUGGAAUUAUUUGAAACCGCUACAAUAAAUUCUCAUUUUAAAGUGCAUUGCUGAUUCAUGGUGUGGAUUUGUGUACAAGCAAUAAAUU